rnacentral:rRNA from 1 species
CCUACGGGUGGCUGCAGUGAGGAAUAUUGGUCAAUGGACGAGAGUCUGAACCAGCCAAGUAGCGUGAAGGAUGACUGCCCUAUGGGUUGUAAACUUCUUUUAUAUGGGAAUAAAACGUUCCACGUGUGGGAUUUUGUAUGUACCAUAUGAAUAAGGAUCGGCUAACUCCGUGCCAGCAGCCGCGGUAAUACGGAGGAUCCGAGCGUUAUCCGGAUUUAUUGGGUUUAAAGGGAGCGUAGGUGGAUUGUUAAGUCAGUUGUGAAAGUUUGCGGCUCAACCGUAAAAUUGCAGUUGAAACUGGCAGUCUUGAGUACAGUAGAGGUGGGCGGAAGUCGUGGUGUAGCGGUGAAAUGCUUAGAUAUCACGAAGAACUCCGAUUGCGAAGGCAGUUCACUGGACUGCAACUGACACUGAGGCUCGAAAGUGUGGGUAUCAAACAGGAUUAGAGACCCCAGUAGUC